AUUGAACGCUGGCGGCAGGCUUAACACAUGCAAGUCGAGCGAGCGGCGGACGGGUGAGUAAUGUCUGGGAAACUGCCUGAUGGAGGGGGAUAACUACUGGAAACGGUAGCUAAUACCGCAUAACUUCAGAUGUUCCCCGAUGGGAUUAGCUAGGAGGUGGGGUAAUGGAUCACCUAGGCGACGAUCCCUAGCUGGUCUGAGAGGAUGACCAGCCACACUGGACAUGAGCCACGCUCCAGCCUCCUACGUGAGGCAGCAGUGGGGAAUAUUGCACAAUGGGCGCAAGCCUGAUGCAGCCAUGCCGCGUGGGUGAAGAAGGCCUUCGGGUGGUAAAGCACUUUCAGCGAGGAGGCGUUACUCGCAGAAGAAGCACCGGCUAACUCCGUGCCAGCAGCCGCGGUAAUUC
rnacentral:rRNA from 1 species